rnacentral:rRNA from 1 species
UGGGGAAUAUUGCACAAUGGGCGCAAGCCUGAUGCAGCCAUGCCGCGUGUAUGAAGAAGGCCUUCGGGUUGUAAAGCACUUUCAGCGGGGAGGAAGGCGUUAAGGUUAAUAACCUUGGCGAUUGACGUUACCCGCAGAAGAAGCACCGGCUAACUCCGUGCCAGCAGCCGCGGUAAUACGGAGGGUGCAAGCGUUAAUCGGAAUUACUGGGCGUAAAGCGCACGCAGGCGGUCUGUCAAGUCGGAUGUGAAAUCCCCGGGCUCAACCUGGGAACUGCAUUCGAAACUGGCAGGCUAGAGUCUUGUAGAGGGGGGUAGAAUUCCAGGUGUAGCGAUGAAAUGCGUAGAGAUCUGGAGGAAUACCGGUGGCGAAGGCGGCCCCCUGGACAAAGACUGACGCUCAGGUGCGAAAGCGUGGGGAGCAAACAGG